UUAAACUUCAGCUUCUUCAGCAUUACUUGUUGGGGCAUAGACUUGGAUUACAGUGAAUCGGAAUGGUUUGCCUUGGAAAUGAACAGAGGUCAUCCUGUCAUUUUUGAGAUUGCGUCUAAGUACUGCAUUCCAGACUCUUUUGUUGACCAUGAUGGCUACUCCAUUUCUUCUAAGGGAUUCCUGCCCACAGUAGUAGAUAUAAUGGGCAUCUGAGUUAAAUUCACCCAUUCCAGUCCAUUUUAGCUUGCUGAUUCUUAAAAUGUCAACGUUCACUCUUGUCAUCUCCUGUUUGACCACUUCCUAUUUGCCUUGAUACAUGGACCUAACAUUCCAGGUUCCUAUGCAAUAUUGCUCUUUACAGCAUCAGACCUUGCUUCUAUCACCAGUCACAUCCACAACUGGGUGUUGUUUUUGCUUUGGCUCUGUCUCUUCAUUCUUUCUGGAGUUAUUUCUCCACUGAUCUCCAGUAGCAUACUGGGCACCUGCCGACCUGGGGAGUUCAUCUUUCAGUGUCCUGUCUUUUUUCCUUUUCAUACUGUUAAUGGGAGUGGCAAGCGGUGGCUGUGCAGCGCUGGGGUGGCAAGCAGCCAAGAGGAGCUACCCCUCGUUCAAGACAAGGAGCAGAGGCUGCACUUUGCUGGAACAGCCAUGAAGAGAUACCCCACAUCCAAGAUGUCAUUCACCCCAGAGAGUCGGACACUACUGAGCAGCUGAACAGAACCGAAUCCCCUGCUUAAAACCCUUCGGGGGCUGUCUCCAGGGCAAGGACCAGCCCAGACCAGUAUCUGCUGCUUCGAGAGCACCCUGUCAAGCCCCACCCCACCUCUGCUCUUGCACACGUGUCUUCGUGGAGUAUCUUUCCUUCAGUUUCAGGUCGGGUGUCAGCGUCCUGCUCACCCCGCGAGAACUGGGCACCGUCCUUUGCUG
ensembl:lncRNA